GGAGUUUCUACUAUUUCUCCACAGAGUAUUUUCCAGAAUGAACAUGAUGUGAUUGCAAAAGACAUGUGAGCCACUCUCGGAGCCAAGAAACAGGAACGGCCUGGCCCUGCAGAAUACACACCUGGGAAUAACUGAGCCAGUCACUGGAUGUCACCAUUGAGCUGCAGAAAUGUGGCUUGAAGUUCAUUAUUUAUCUGCUUUUAAAAGUACUAGUUUUUAAGGAAAGCAUCGGUCACUGGAAACCCUUGGUCCGUGUAGUGAAAAUCCCAUGUACACCCAUUUCCUUCCAGCUGCUGACGGUGAUGAGACGGGACAGCC
rnacentral:lncRNA from 1 species